rnacentral:rRNA from 1 species
AACGAACGCUGGCGGCAGGCCUAACACAUGCAAGUCGAACGCCGUAGCAAUACGGAGUGGCAGACGGGUGAGUAACACGUGGGAACGUACCCUUCGGUUCGGGAUAACUCAGGGAAACUUGAGCUAAUACCGGAUACGUCCGAGAGGAGAAAGAUUUAUCGCCGAGGGAUCGGCCCGCGUCUGAUUAGCUUGUUGGUGAGGUAACGGCUCACCAAGGCGACGAUCAGUAGCUGGUCUGAGAGGAUGAUCAGCCACAUUGGGACUGAGACACGGCCCAAACUCCUACGGGAGGCAGCAGUGGGGAAUAUUGGACAAUGGGCGCAAGCCUGAUCCAGCCAUGCCGCGUGAGUGAUGAAGGCCCUAGGGUUGUAAAGCUCUUUUACCCGGGAAGAUAAUGACUGUACCGGGAGAAUAAGCCCCGGCUAACUUCGUGCCAGCCGCCGCCGU